rnacentral:rRNA from 1 species
UACGAGGGGGGCAAGCGUUGUUCGGAAUUAUUGGGCGUAAAGGGCGCGUAGGCGGCGCGGUAAGUCACCAGUGAAAUCUCCGGGCUCAACUCGGAGCCUGCUGGCGAAACUGCCGUGCUAGAGUGUGAGAGAGGCGAGUGGAAUUACGGGUGUAGCGGUGAAAUGCGUAGAUAUCCGUAGGAACAUCCGAGGCGAAAGCGGCUCGCUGGAUCACAACUGACGCUGAGGGACGAAAGCUAGGGGAGCAAACAGG